GCGCGAGUCCCUACCGUGAGCACCAGUUAGUCCAUAGUCAUCUCUUUAUUUUGCUCGCCGUGCCACACACACACACACACACAAACGGCCUCGUCUCGGGCGAAUGAACGCGCUCACGUUACAAUGGAAAGAAAAACACCGGCUGUAUGUGUACGCGCAUGUGCGUGCGCGCUGGAAGAAGCCUCUGACUGAACAUACGUGCUGAAGAAUGCCCAUUUUUUUCGUCGAAGCUUUUCAUAAAUAACAUCUGAUUCUGAUACACCCCAAAGCCUUAUUCAAAGGGCUUAUUAAGAUUGGUUCACGCUCUCCAUUGAAUAAAACAAUUUUGUCUGGAA